rnacentral:rRNA from 1 species
AUUGAACGCUGGCGGCAUGCUUUACACAUGCCAGUCGAACGGCAGCGCGGGCUUCGGCCUGGCGGCGAGUGGCGAACGGGUGAGUAAUACAUCGGAACGUGCCCAGUAGUGGGGGAUAGCUCGGCGAAAGCCGGAUUAAUACCGCAUACGACCUGAGGGUGAAAGCGGGGGAUCUUCGGACCUCGCGCUAUUGGAGCGGCCGAUGGCAGAUUAGCUAGUUGGUGGGGUAAAGGCCUACCAAGGCGACGAUCUGUAGCUGGUCUGAGAGGACGGCCAGCCACACUGGGACUGAGACACGGCCCAGACUCCUACGGGAGGCAGCAGUGGGGAAUUUUGGACAAUGGGCGAAAGCCUGAUCCAGCAAUGCCGCGUGUGUGAUGAAGGCCUUCGGGUUGUAAAGCACUUUUGGCGGGAACGAAAAGGACUGUGCCAAUACCACGGUUCGAUGACGGUACCCGCAGAAUAAGCACCGGCUAACUACGUG